GAUUGGUGUGUGUAGUCUGAAAUAAUAUAUAUCAAUGAAUACAUGUCAUAGGGUCAUUUUCUUUUCCAAUGUAUGUUCUGGUGUGUGGGUUUCCUUUGGAUAUGAAUAGCAGUAGUUCCAGGUUCCUUCCUUCCGUAUGUUGUCCUUUGCCACGGGCCAUAGUCUGCCCAAGCCUGGUUACCAGUUAGCUCUGGUGCUGGUGGUUCGGCCCUGAUUCGGCUUCUGACUGCUAGUCAGACAGCUUGAACUGUGUUUGGGUCAAAGACGUGACGCUCAUUUUUUUGUGAACAUGAGGAUGAAAUUCAUUUAAAAGUGUUAACAUUUGAGAAUAAUCUAUCAAAUCACUUUCAAACAUAAUUUUCUUCAAGACCAAAAUCUAAAAGUUCUGGUUUUAUCCAUUUUUGUGAGAAUAUUAAGAGAAUAAUGGUCAAAUUGUCAAUAUGGCAUCUUGCCAACCCUUAUUUGUCACUGACCCGCUUAUUUGUGCUUACUGACUGAAUGGGUGCCAAUUGAAUGCCAUUGGCUGUGUUUGUUUGUGUGUCCUUCUCUGAGCACAACACAGGACUUAAUGAGACUUGGGAGGGGGGGGGGGGGGUAUUCCACGCCGUACGUGUGUUUAGUGACAAACCUGGAUUAGUUACCUCCGAGGAAAAGUGGUAAACUCUCCUAAUAGAAGAAAACAAACAAACAAACACAGGACUUUAAUGAGACUUGGUGUGAAAACAGUGGAAAAACGUUUGUUUGAGUUUCAGUUUGUUACUCAGAGAGAAACCUGACUCUAGACUCUAGAGUCAGAUGCAUGAUGGGUAAGCAUUGGGGCGUUGUGGGAAAUGUAGUCCACCGCGUUAUUAGUAACCCUUUCGUUGGGGACGUAUAGUGGUUUGAUGGCUGAAGUGUGUGAUUGAUUUUAGGAGCUGUAGGUUAUUGUGGUCAUCUUUUUUUCCCCUCUCCCCUUCAAACAAAACAAACAAACAAACAAACAAACAAACAAACAAGGCUGACUGCAGUCAGUUUUUUAUUGUACGAACAACUCACAGCAACACACACGUGUUAUAUAUAUAUGGAGGCGACCAGGACACACUACACACACACACACACGCACACGCAGGCCUGAGGUCGCCGUGAAACACAAGUCAAAACAUGAGAUCAUAUUGUGAAUGAAAAAAAAUGUUAAUGAACUUUAUGCCAAUGAAUGAGACACUCUAUGUGGUAAACUAUACCCCUAGCCAGUAUCCCUUCAUCAAUGUGCCAUAUAUGGGCGCGUGCGAGCAUGCUCCAUGUUAUGUUUCGUUCACAGCACGUUUCCUGUUACUUCAGUGGCCGAGCCGAGUAUAUACACACUGCUGUUAAGGACAAUCAGAACCCUUUGACCUUAGUGACCUUUCGGAGUUUGACCUCUCCCUCUGCGAAAAGCUGGAGUGCAGCCUAGAUUCAGCACUUUUCACACGGAAGGGUGUGUGUGUGUGUGUCUGUGUGUGUGUGUGUGUGUGUGUGUGUGUGUGUGUUACCUGCAGUAGCCUGUAGUGCUGGGUUAUACAGUGAUCUGAUCUGGGAUAGGAACGGGGGGCGGGAGGAUCAGUGACGUUUGUCAUUGGAGGUGGUGUGUGAUUGACAGGGGUAGGGUUGCCUAGUAACGGAUGAUAGGGUUGCCUAGUAACGGGGAUGCAUGGUAUCUUGUCAUAAGACUUUUCUAUAGCUGUUGUUACAAAUCAUGAUUUCUUUUUUCUUCCUUUUUUAGUUUUGUUGAUUUCUUUGUUUUCCUGUAUGAGGGUGUGCGCGUGUGUGUUUUUGGGUGUGUGCGGUUGUGCGCGUGUGUUUUCGUGUGUGUGUGUGUACAGCUUGUAGGACACUAAACCACAAUAAAAGUGGAUGCCAAAA